rnacentral:rRNA from 1 species
AGCGAACGCUGGCGGCAGGCCUAACGCAUGCCAGUCGAACGAACUCUUCGGAGUUAGUGGCGGACGGGUGAGUAACACGUGGGAACGUGCCUUUAGGUUCGGAAUAACUCAGGGAAACUUGUGCUAAUACCGAAUGUGCCCUUCGGGGGAAAGAUUUAUCGCCUUUAGAGCGGCCCGCGUCUGAUUAGCUAGUUGGUGAGGUAAAGGCUCACCAAGGCGACGAUCAGUAGCUGGUCUGAGAGGAUGAUCAGCCACAUUGGGACUGAGACACGGCCCAAACUCCUACGGGAGGCAGCAGUGGGGAAUCUUGCGCAAUGGGCGAAAGCCUGACGCAGCCAUGCCGCGUGAAUGAUGAAGGUCUUAGGAUUGUAAAAUUCUUUCACCGGGGACGAUAAUGACGGUACCCGGAGAAGAAGCCCCGGCUAACUUCGUG